rnacentral:lncRNA from 10 species
UUAUUACUCGGCAUCUGUACAGGGAACGUGGGUGCCUGGAACAUCUGGGCUGCCUUUGGACCAAAACGUCUGGGUCAUGUGCCCAGCCUCCCUUUUGUGACCUUCCCAAGGGGGCAGGCCAGGUCGGCAGGGAACUGGAACUAUUUUUGAGAAGGCCACUGGCAGAGGUCGCCUCAUCCACUGCCCAAGUACCCCACAUUCUCUGUUCUCUAGGCCAAGAGUUUGUGGAGCUAUUGAAAUGGGAGUAAGGGAGGAGCAAGGCCAAAGGAGAGGAGGAAGAGUACGCAAACUGGCCUGUCCAUAAUAUAAAGUUUAACUGGACACUGGUCAGAUGGAGUUCUGAGAAGCACCAAUGAAGACAUCAGUCUGUGAAGACCCUCGUCCACGUCCAAUCCUUGCUAGAUGGUCUUAUCAGUGGUCCUCCUGAUGUCUCAGCCCUCUGAGGAAAGCAUCUGGACCUGGCCUGGCCGAGGGGCACUGCAUGAGGAGCUUUUUCAGGUCACAGGCUGUCUGGGCUUUCUCCGCCUGAGUGGAUGUGUUUGCAAAGUGGAUGAGUGACCUUUCAUUCCUGGACACCCAGAGGGCCAAUCAGUCUGUUCUUGCUCCACUGAGAAAACUGAAUAAAGUGCUUGCCACUUGAAAUGAGAGUAAGGCAUAAAUAACUAU